rnacentral:lncRNA from 1 species
AGCCCCAGAAGGAGCUUCCCUUGAGAGGAAAGCUGGGCCAGCCAAACGCGUCUCUGAGUAUGCUGUCUGGAGAGGAGAGAUGGCACUUCUGUCUCCAGACCCCACUCCCACCCUGGAGCUCCCUGUGCAACAAGGACAAGAUCAGGAUAAGAGCCGUGCAUAUGUGAUUUCACUGCGUCCGCAUUGAACCAACCAUUUGAAGAACCUGGAGCCCAUCAAUAAGGCUAAGCGGGCAGGCCAAUAAUCUCUGGGGAUCCAUGUGUCUGUUCCUUUGGAGCUGGAAUCACAGAUGUGUGCUGCCACACCCAAACCCAGAUCCCAGUGCUUGUGAGCUAGCACUUUUCUGACUAAGCCAUCUCCACUCCCAGACUCCUUUCUCUCCUCACCAAGUGCAGGUGGAAUAGUGUUGCCAUCCUCUGGACCCUUGUACCUCCAGCUUGUCUGUCUGCAGUGGGCAGGCCCUUGAGGUCUACCUCAAACUCUGUGGCUGGAAAAAUGACCCAGUCUAUCUGAGCAGUGGUGAACUCCCCAGAUUGGUCUGGUCACAUCAACUAAAAUAGGACAAAAGUAGGAGACACCAAUGACCAGAUGCAUGAAGAACAAAGAAGGAGGAAAGCAGUCCUGAAAAUAGAAAUCACACCAAAAAAUAGAUGAUGAGUUGAUGAUGCCCCGAGGCCUUUGUUCAGGAACAUGCUGGCACUGUAAAGAGGAACACGACAGUACCACAUUCUUCUGUGAAGUGUGAGCGGCUUUUUCCUAAAGAAUUCUCCCUAGAGAAGGCCUUGUGGGUUGUGGCUAGCUCUGCUUUCCGUUUUUAUCCAGACGUGUUCUUUAAGGCAAGUAUUACUCUCUUUCAAGGACUGCUCUAUCAUCACAUUAACAAUAAGAUAAACAAACUUGACAAAAAUCCAUGGAAAACACUAACCAUGGCCAUUGCUUAUUUCUGGUCCCAGGUAUUCCGUUUGUGCUCACAGUUAAAAAGCAGUCACGGCAGCUGUGUGCGUUCUGUAUCACUUGUUCCCCGUAAAUAAA